CAGUAGCCGCGGGAAUACAGAGGGUGCGAGCGUUAUCCGGAUUCACUGGGUUUAAAGGGUGCGUAGGCGGAUCUGUAAGUCAGUGGUGAAAUCUCCAGGCUUAACCUGGAAACUGCCGUUGAUACUAUAGGUCUUGAAUUUUGUGGAGGUUAGCGGAAUAUGUCAUGUAGCGGUGAAAUGCAUAGAUAUGACAUAGAACACCAAUUGCGAAGGCAGCUGGCUACACAACUAUUGACGCUGAGGCACGAAAGCGUGGGGAUCAAACAGGAUUAGAUACCCCCGUAGUCCCUGUCUCUUAUAC
rnacentral:rRNA from 1 species